UACUCUCUAAGCGAAAACAAGAAAACAAUAUAAAGAUUCAAGAACAGUAGCAAUGUACACAGAGCCACCUGAACAUCUGAGCAACUAAAGAUGGUCUUCAGAUGGUCAUCCAGAGGACAUCAGACAGUGCCAGUAUUUCAGUGUGUAAAAACAGCAGGUUAAGGAGGGGUACCCAAAGAAAGAAGAAUACUGUAUUAGAAACACUAUUGAUGGUGGUGGGAGAUGACUUACCCCCCUCCCAUCUGCAAGUCAUCCUCCUGGCUACUGCACAACUCCAGACUAGAUGUUUACUCAUGAGCAAGUCUCACUGGAUUCAAUGAUGUUUAUGUACCAAAUGUAAUAUAAAUGAUUGCAGCCCA